rnacentral:RNase_P_RNA from 2 species
UGAGUCGGCCGGGUAAACGCGGCAAAUGAACCGCCCCACGUGUUGGGGCAGGCAGGCGCCGAGGAAAGUCCGGACUCCACAGAGCACGGUGGUUGCUAACAGCAACCCGGGGCAACCCGCGGGCAAGUGCAACAGAAAGUAGACCGCCUGGAGCAAUCCAGGUAAGGGUGAAACGGUGCGUUAAGAGCGCACCAGCACCCCAGGUGACUGGGGUGGCUGGGUAAACCCCACCGGGAGCAAGGCAUCACGGCCUGCCUUUUGGGCAGGCCCGAUCAGGUGUUUGAGGGCUGCUCACCCGAGCCUGAAGGUAGCUGCUUGAGGCGGCCAGCAAUGGUCGACCCAGAUGGAUGUUUACCACGCCGGGGACGGGCAACCGCCCCGCGCGGACAGAAUCCGGCUCACAGGCCGGCUCAUUCG